GAUGAAGAACGCAGCGAAAUGCGAUAAGUAAUGUGAAUUGCAGAAUUCAGUGAAUCAUCGAAUCUUUGAACGCACAUUGCGCCCGCCAGUAUUCUGGCGGGCAUGCCUGUUCGAGCGUCAUUUCAACCAUCAAGCCCCCGGCUUGUGUUGGGGACCUGCGGCUGCCGCAGGCCCUGAAAACCAGUGGCGGGCUCGCUGUCACACCGAGCGUAGUAGAUUUUCAUCUCGCUCAGGGCGUGCGGCGGGCUCCUGCCGUGAAACCCCCCACUGUAACCCCAAAGGUUGACCUCGGAUCAGGUAGGAAUACCCGCUGAACUUAAGCAUAUCAAUAAGCGGAGGA
rnacentral:misc_RNA from 1 species